rnacentral:rRNA from 1 species
UACGGGGGGAGCUAGCGUUUUUCGGAAUUACUGGGCGUAAAGGGUGCGUAGGCGGUCGAUAAAGUUGAAAGUGAAAUCCCCGGGCUUAACCUGGGAACUGCUUUCAAAACUCAUUGGCUAGAGGACGAUAGAGGACAGUGGAAUUCCUAGUGUAGAGGUGAAAUUCUUAGAUAUUAGGAAGAACACCAGAGGCGAAGGCGGCUGUCUGGAUCGUUACUGACGCUGAGGCACGAAAGCGUGGGGAGCAAACAGG